rnacentral:rRNA from 1 species
AUUGAACGCUGGCGGCAUGCCUUACACAUGCAAGUCGAACGGCAGCACGGGUGCUUGCACCUGUUGGCGAGUGGCGAACGGGUGAGUAAUACAUCGGAACCUGUCCUGUAGUGGUGGAUAGCCCGGCGAAAGCCGGAUUAAUACCGCAUACGAUCUACGGAUGCAAGCGGGGGCCCUUCGUGCCUCGCCCUUUCGGGUUUGCCGAUGGCUGUUUAGCUUGUUGUUGUGGUAAAGGCCUACCAAGGCGACGAUCGGUAGCUGGUCUGAGAGGACGACCAGCAAAACUGGGAAUGAGAAACGGCCCAGAAUCCUAGGGGAGGCAGAAGGGGGAAAUUUUGGAAAAGGGGCGAAGGCUGGAUCAAGCAAUGCGGGGUGGGGAAAGAGGGCCUUCGGGUGGAAAAGCACUUUGGUCGGGAAAAAAAGCAUUGGCCCUAAAACGGGCGGGGGAUGAGGGAACCGGAAGAAUAAGCACCGGAUAACUAGGU